CCCCGAUAUAGCGAAGGGGCAAUCACCUCACGCUCUCAAGAAGAACCGUGGAGACCGUGGUUCCAUACCCGUAGCGGAG
rnacentral:tRNA from 1 species